AUGGAGUACCACGUCGUCGGGCAGAGCUUGUUCGGUGAAGUUCCAGUUCUUGUAGACCAUGGAGGACAUGGGCAUGGCGUGCUUGCGCGGGAACACGGUCAUCUCGAUGACGCCGCCGGCGUUGAUGAGCAGCCCCCGCGCCCGCGCGUUGAUGUUCAUGGUGUCGCGGUAGUGCGGGUGCAGGAGCUUGUACACCGGGUGGGUCACGCUGAGCUGCCUGUUGGUGGCGAUGACGAAGGGCUCCAUCACCGCGUGCGUGUUGAGCCAGUGGCUGAUCAGCUGGUGCCAGCCGUAGUCGUUCACGGAGGCGUAGGCCUUGGCGAGCUGCCAUAUCCAGCCCUCCACGCCGGCGUGCUGCGGCGUGUACACGGUGCUCUUCGCCGUGGUCAGGUCGCCCUGGAUCAGCGGCGAGCUCAGCUCGAUGGCGACCGGCGCCAGCGUGCCGUUCCCUUGCAGGAAGAGCAGGGUCCUGGUCGCGUACACGAAGCUGCCGUCGAGGUUGUUGAUGUCGACCAGGAACGGCAUCAGGUUGUCGUGCUGAUCCACGAUGUAGAGCCUGUUGUCGGCGAGCGCCUGCUCCACGGUGAGGCCCUCGAGGCUCCUACCGAUGUGCGCCUCCGUGAUGGUGCUGGUGUGGUCGCCGUACUUGCUCGGAUCCAGUGUACUUUUGGGAGGGAACUCCUGCACGCAGUCAAAUAA
rnacentral:rRNA from 1 species